GUUCGUGUAGCUCAGUAGGAUAGAGCGGUCGCCUCCUAAGCGACAGGCCGUUGGUUCGACUCCAAUCACGAACGCCA
rnacentral:tRNA from 1 species